rnacentral:lncRNA from 1 species
AUUAUCUCAGUAAAAGCUUACUUAACCUAAUCAUGUCAUCCUUCCAAAAUUAUAACAACAACAAUUACAACCGCAAUUCAAUAGAGAAAUUUUUUUAAUAAUUAAAGUAAAAAAUAGAAAAGUAUCACUAUGAAAAAAGCAAGAAGCGAUUAAGCGAAAUCGAUCUUGACACAGCCGUGUUUGCAGCGACAAUGUAGAGUGCGAAAGGGCAGUUGUGGAUGUUGG